rnacentral:rRNA from 1 species
UACAUGUGGGGCAAGCGUUGUUCGGAAUUACUGGGCAUAAAGGGUGCGUAGGCGGCGGUAUAAGUCAGCGGUGAAAUCCUUCGGCCCAACCGGAGAACUGCCGUUGAUACUGUGCUGCUUGAGUGCGUGAGGGGUGGCUGGAACGAGUGGUGUAGCGGUGAAAUGCGUAGAUAUCACUCGGAACACCCAAGGCGAAGGCAGGCCACUGGCACGCAACUGACGCUGAGGCACGAAAGCGUGGGGAGCAAACAGGAUUAGAUACCCUGGUAGUCCACGCUGUAAACGAUGAGCACUAGAUCGCUGGGGAGCUAUCUUUGGCGGUCGCAGACAAUUUGUUAAGUGCUCCGCCUGGGGAGUAUGGUCGCAAGACUGAA